AAAAAUGCUAACUUUUUUUUCGUUGCUCCCGAAUUUUCGUCUACGCACGUAUGUUUGGGACGUCGCACGUAUUAUUCAUGAAGCCCGUCUUUUUAGUAUGCGUCGUUCGAUUCUGUCCAUAUCCAAGUAGAUCCGUUGGAUACUACUAAACUACGAAGUAGCCCGUUUACAAAACAACACUUUCCUUUUUAUUUCUCCUCGAUCAUUCGUCUUCUUCUACCUUGAUUCUCUCUGGCUGUCUUCUCAACAACUGAAUCUUCAAUUGUGUUUCGAACAACGGAGAUCAAGAAUUGAAUUAAUUGUUUUCUUUUCUUCGAUUAAGCAUGACUAAAAUCGUUUAAACUGAGCUGUAAUUCUAGGGUUAUUUUCGGGGGUUUUAUUUGAUUUAUGUUUAUCAACGGUUUACUAAAAUCUUUCAAUUUCAUUUUUUUACAUUGAAUUCGUAAUAUCGGUGGUUUGGAUUAUGGUUCCCCACUUUGUUAUUCGAAUUUGUACUUCGAUGGUUUUUUCUGAAAUACAAAAACCUUUAUGGAUUGAGUUUAGUGUUCAAAUAUCUGGGUUGUAUGUGGCUAUUAGAUGCAUGGGCUAACGUUGGUGAUGAAGAUGGUGGUUCAAAGUUAAUCCAAUUGACGAUAGAUUAGUUGGGUUAUCAUCUUCUUCCAUUAGUAAUGUGAUUCCGAAAUGCUAAUUGGGUAAAUUCAUUUUGUAUUGUAACUUGGAAUUCUGAAGUUCUGUAAGAAUUUUAGGGGGUUUGCUUGAUUUGUGUUUCUAUGGAAAAUAUAAAAUCUUUUGUCUUUCUUCAUACAGAUGGAAAUGAGUUUUUAGUAGUCACUAAAAAGUCAGGCUUUUUGUUUCUUAAUUAGUACAGUACUAUUUUUAGGAGAACUUCAUUGCAGAAUUGUGAGAAGUUAGGGCUAUGAGUUUCAUAUUUCAGGUGGUUCAGAUGAUUACGUUAUAUUCGUUGAGUGAGCUUGGCAACCAUGUCAAAUGUUUAAAAGCUAUGGACUAUAAAUUCAGUGGUGAAACAAGAAGGAAAUAGAAUGGAAAACUAGCGAGUCCAGUUGGUAGAGUGAACAUGAGAAUCAAAGUCAAACAACUUUUCUAUUAUACAUUAUGGUUGUUUUCUUUUGCAAUUUUCAUGACGCUUUUCAAACCACAAUCUUUGUGUGAUGUUAACUGGUGCAGAUUUUUCCAAUUGGAAUAGAAUGAAGCUUUGUUACUGUGAUGGUGAUCAAAUGCUUUCAUGUGCUUAGAUUUAUUUGAUGUUGUUACAUGUAGACUAUGUAGUCUGUGUUAGAGACUGGAAAAUCAUUUAUUAGGUUUGCCAAUAUGAUGCUGGGUUCUGUUCUAUGCACUGCAGUUGGAUUCCCACUUGGUUGGGCUCAUUUGAAGCUUAUGAAGAAGGUAGAGGAACAAAGGCUGGCUUAUGAAAAUCUAUGCUUCCAGAUGAGAGAAAAGAAAAGGCUGGGGUUGGCCGUGCCAUUGACAGGCUUGAGGAGAACUUCAGAAGAUCGAAAUAACAGAUACAAGAAGAAAGUUACAUCUAGUCUUGACUGUAUUUGCAGACCUCUCCCCCUUCAGUUACAAAUUUGCUAAUUCCCAUUACAGCUAAAUCCGGAUUUCAUUCAUAAAGAAAAUGUUACAGAACUCCCUUUUGUUGAGGUGUAUCGACAUGCAACGCACGUGCACUCUGCUUGUACAAUUAAGGGGGUUUCGAACAGGGCAUAGCAGGACCUAUCACAGCCUCAUCCCUGGAAGAAGCAGAAGCUUUAGGACUUCUGCAAGCAUCACUUGGACAACAGAGGAAAGCCUAUCAAAUCUCAGUGUGGAGGGAGGCUGUAAGAAUCUUUUUGAUUACUUGAAUGAAAUAUCUUCUCAAAUUUCUGGCAGAAUCAGACUAUUUAUGGAUGAAGUAAAAAGAGACUUCAAUCGUUAUCAUAAUUUUUUAGGUUUUUUUUUACAUUCCAAGAUUAGCAAACAAUGUAGCUGAUAUUUUAGCAAAGGAGGCUAAAUCUUUUAAAACAAUUACCAAUUGGAGGAAUGAACCUCCAUCUUGUAUUUUGAAUGCUUUAGAAGUAGAUAAAUCUAAUGUUGGGUUGGAAUUGAUAACCCAAUAUUAGAUGGCUCUACUAUCCCUGGUGUAAGGGUUACCAACUCCCUAAGUUAGCAUUUGAAUAC